UGGGGAAUUUUCCGCAAUGGGCGAAAGCCUGACGGAGCAAUACCGCGUGAGGGAGGAAGGCUUUUGGGUUGUAAACCUCUUUUAUUCGGGAAGAAGAACUGACGGUACCGAAUGAAUCAGCAUCGGCUAACUCCGUGCCAGCAGCCGCGGUAAUACGGAGGAUGCAAGCGUUAUCCGGAUUUAUUGGGCGUAAAGCGUCCGCAGGUGGUUUAUCAAGUCUGCUGUCAAAGCGCGGAGCUUAACUCCGUAAGGGCGGUGGAAACUGGUAGACUAGAGUCUGGUAGGGGUCACGGGAAUUCCCAGUGUAGCGGUGAAAUGCGUAGAUAUUGGGAAGAACACCGGCGGCGAAAGCGCGUGACUGGACCGGAACUGACACUGAGGGACGAAAGCUAGGGGAGCGAAAG
rnacentral:rRNA from 1 species